GAACGGGUGAGUAAUGCAUCGGAACGUGCCCUGAAGUGGGGGAUAACGCAGCGAAAGUUGCGCUAAUACCGCAUAUUCUGUGAGCAGGAAAGCAGGGGAUCGCAAGACCUUGCGCUUUAGGAGCGGCCGAUGUCGGAUUAGCUAGUUGGUGGGGUAAAGGCUCACCAAGGCGACGAUCCGUAGCGGGUCUGAGAGGAUGAUCCGCCACACUGGGACUGAGACACGGCCCAGACUCCUACGGGAGGCAGCAGUGGGGAAUUUUGGACAAUGGGCGAAAGCCUGAUCCAGCCAUGCCGCGUGAGUGAAGAAGGCCUUCGGGUUGUAAAGCUCUUUCGGCGGGGAAGAAAUCGCAUUCUCUAAUACAGGAUGUGGAUGACGGUACCCGAAUAAGAGGCACCGGCUAACUACGUGCCAGCAGCCGCGGUAAUACGUAGGGUGCGAGCGUUAAUCGGAAUUACUGGGCGUAAAGCGUGCGCAGGCGGUUUCGUAAGACAGACGUGAGAUCCCCGGGGCUCACCUGGGAACUGCGUUUGUGACUG
rnacentral:rRNA from 1 species